UACGUAGGGGGCUAGCGUUGUCCGGAAUCAUUGGGCGUAAAGAGCGCGUAGGCGGCCAGAUAAGUCCGGUGUGAAAGUCACAGGCUCAACCUGUGAAUGCCGCUGGAAACUGUCUGGCUAGAGUCCGGAAGAGGCGAGUGGAAUUCCUGGUGUAGCGGUGGAAUGCGCAGAUAUCAGGAGGAACACCGAUGGCGAAGGCAGCUCGCUGGGACGGUACUGACGCUGAGGCGCGAAAGCGUGGGGAGCGAACAGG
rnacentral:rRNA from 1 species